AUGUGCUCCAGACAAAGCGGGUGCGGCUGCGGCUGCGGCUGCUGCUGCUGCUGCCGGGGGAGUUACCAGUCCCAGGGCUCCUCCGGCGGGGGAGGAGGCGGAUCCUGCUGCGGUGGAGGAUCCUCCGGUGGAUCAGCCCAGAAGAUCAUUAUCAGCUCUGGUGGCGGAGGAGGAGGAGGCUCCUCUGGAUGCUGCGGAGGGGGAUCCAGUGGCGGUUCUUCAGGAGGGAAGAUGAUGGGAGGUGGAGGCGGUGGAGGUUCCUCCAGAUGCUGCGGUGGAGGAUCCAGUGGUGGAUCUUCAAAGAGCAUGAUGGGAGGUGGAGGUAGUGGAGGAUCCUCUGGAUGCUGCGGUGGAGGAUCCGGUGGUGGAUCUUCUGGAAUGAAGAUCAUAAUGGGAGGUGGAGGUGGUGGAGGAUCCUCUGGAUGCUGCGGUGGAGGAUCCGGUGGUGGAUCUUCAAAGAGCAUGAUGGGAGGUGGUGGAGGAUCCUCUUGGCUCCUCAAAGAGCAUGAUGGGAGGUGGAGGCGGUGGUGGAUCCUCUGGAUGCUGUGGUGGAGGAUCUGGUGGUGGCUCUUCAAAGAGUAUGAUGGGAGGUGGAGGCAGUGGUGGAUCCUCUGGAUGCUGCGGUGGAGGAUCUGGUGGUGGAUCUUCUGGGAUGAAGAUCAUAAUGGGAGGUGGAGGCGGUGGUGGAUCCUCUGGAUGCUGCGGUGGAGGAUCCAGCGGUGGCUCCUCAAAGAGCAUCAUGGGAGGUGGAGGUGGAGGCGGUGGUGGAUCCUCCGGAUGCUGCGGUGGAGGAUCUGGUGGUGGCUCUUCAAAGAGUAUGAUGGGAGGUGGAGGUGGAGGUGGAUCCUCUGGGAUGAAGAUCAUAAUGGGAGGUGGAGGUGGUGGUGGAUCCUCUGGAUGCUGCGGGGGAGGAUCUGGUGGUGGAUCUUCAAAGAGCAUGAUGGGAGGUGGAGGUGGUGGAGGAUCCUCUGGGUGCUGCGGUGGAGGAUCCGGUGGUGGCAGUGGGGGAUCAGCCCAGAAGAUCAUCAUCAGCUCUGGCGGUGGAGGAGGAGGAGGCUCCUCCGGAUGCUGCGGAGGAGGAUCUGGUGGUGGCUCUUCAGGAGGGCAGAUCAUCAUGGGAGGGGGAGGCGGUGGUGGAUCCUCUGGGUGCUGCGGUGGAGGAUCCGGUGGUGGCUCCUCAGGCCAGACCAUCAUCAUCAGCUCUGGAGGUGGCGGCGGAGGCUCCUCCCAGUCCAGCCAGCAUAA
rnacentral:lncRNA from 1 species